rnacentral:rRNA from 1 species
GUACACUCCUGCGGGAGGCAGCAGUGGGGAAUUUUGGACAAUGGGCGAAAGCCUGAUCCAGCAAUGCCGCGUGAGUGAAGAAGGCCUUCGGGUUGUAAAGCUCUUUUGUCAGGGAAGAAACGGUGAGAGCUAAUAUCUUUUGCUAAUGACGGUACCUGAAGCAUAAGCACCGGCUAACUACGUGCCAGCAGCCGCGGUAAUACGUAGGGUGCAAGCGUUAAUCGGAAUUACUGGGCGUAAAGCGUGCGCAGGCGGUUUUGUAAGUCUGAUGUGAAAUCCCCGGGCUCAACCUGGGAAUUGCAUUGGAGACUGCAAGGCUAGAAUCUGGCAGAGGGGGGUAGAAUUCCACGUGUAGCAGUGAAAUGCGUAGAUAUGUGGAGGAACACCGAUGGCGAAGGCAGCCCCCUGGGUCAAGAUUGACGCUCAUGCACGAAAGCGUGGGGAGCAAACAGGAUUAGAAACCCGUGUAGUCCC